CUCACUAAUGCUUUCUGUGAGAGAUUCCGUCAUCUUCAAGGUGGGGAGGAUGAUCACUAUUACAGAAGAGCAUAAGGGCUUACCAGCUCUUUAUGUCUCAGGCUAGACAAGGGCAUACAGAAAGCACAAACUUCUUUCAUCGCAGUUUAUUGCUCCCUUCAGAAGAACAACAUUCCUACUUCUGCUGACCCAACUGGUAAGACCCUGACUUUGCAACUGUUAGCACGCAGGGAGGAGCCUAUGCAGAUAAUUGUAAUGCAGAGGGAAAGACUACAUGGAUAUCUGUUUUGAAAGACCUCAGCGCUGGAGAACAGAGGUCCCCUAACGGAGAGAGGAAAAUCUCUCCCUCGGAAGCUGUUUGCCCCUGGGAGACCCUGCACCCUCAACCUGGUGGUUCCACGCUAUGUCACGAGAUGGCAGUAUUUAACUUCCACUGUUCUGUUCUAUGUACGUUUAAGAUGAAGGUCGCUUUCUGCAAAUGGAUAUUAUUUCAGUGCACAUAUUUCCUGCCUGGUUGUGAGCAGCUCCUUCUGCAUAUGUUGGACGUGGUGCUCAGCACUUGGACUUCAGCACCUCUGAGCUGUGAGGACAGCUCUCCAAAUUGGAGAGUGGGGACCACUUGGAAUAAUCCUUUGGUCAAGUGAGUUGGAUCACGAGAAAGCAGAAAGCAGAAAGGGAGCUCCCAUUUGCAAUGGAAGUAGACUGAACAUAACAGAAGGUAUUUGGCAGUCUUUGAAGGUUCAAGAUGCAAAUAUUACAUUGAAGCUUGGUCAGUAAACCUAAGGAGGAAUAUGGAGAAGAGAGAAGGAGCAAUGGAAGCGACCAGAAGAAACCACAUUAUUAGACCAGUACAAGUCUUUUUAAAAGAAUUUUUCACACAUUUGCUGCAAUUAGUGAUUUCAUUCCAGUCUUACGAACUAAUUUUUUGUGCUAUUAAAGACUUUUCUGAACUGCAACUUGUAUUUCAUUUCCCAAGACACACGCAAAUCCUUACAUUCCCAUGUGAAACAGUCUGCCUUUAAAUGUGAGAUGCCUGUAUAAAAAUUCAUUUGUAGAGUAUUAUGGACAAGAAGAUUAGCCAGGGCUUGGGCAAGAGUUCUCUUGGGCAAACACAAAGCCAGUACAACACCAAUAAAUCCAACCACCUCUCCAGUAGCCCAAUGAAGAUUCUGUAUGCAUGUGUUUAAUGAGAAAAUGAAAGGUGGUUUUGCUUGAAAGAGCAUCUGGAUGAAUUGUACGUAUGGAGGCUCUUGUCUUCUGUGUUAUAACAGACACUGACUUGAUUCUAUUAUAUAAAAACGAUAAAAGAAUAAUUUAAGAAACAAUUCUGUUGCUUCAUUUUAACACCUUUUUCUUUUAUAAGCAAAAAAAAAAAAAAAAAAAAAC
ensembl:lncRNA